rnacentral:rRNA from 1 species
AUGCAAGUCGAGCGGAUGACAGGAGCUUGCUCCUGAGUUCAGCGGCGGACGGGUGAGUAAUGCGUAGGAGUCUGCCUGGUAGUGGGGGACAACGUUUCGAAAGGAACGCUAAUACCGCAUACGUCCUACGGGAGAAAGCAUGGGACCUUCUGGCCUUGCGCUAUCUUAUGAGCCUAGGUCGGAUUAUCUAGUUGGUGAGGUAAUGGCUCACCAAGGCGACAAUCCGUAACUGGUCUGAGAGGAUGAUCACUCACACUGGAACUGAGACACGGUCCACACUCCUACGGGAGGCAGCACUGGGGAAUAUUGGACAAUGGGCGAAAGCCUGAUCCACCCAUGCCGCGUGUGUGAAGAAAGUCUUCGGAUUGUAAAGCACUUUAAGUUGGGAGGAAGGGGAUUAACCUAAUACGUUAGUGUUUUGACAUUACCGACAGAAUAUGCACCGGCUAACUCUGUGCCACCAGCCGCGGUAAUACACAGGGUGCAAGCGUUAAUCGCAAUUACUGGGCGUAAAGCGCGCGUAGGUGGUUUGUGAGUUGGAUGUGAAAUCCCCGGGCUCUCCUGGGAACUGCAUUCAAACUGAGAAGCUAUAGUAUGGUAGAGGGUGGUG